AAUAGGAUCAAAAGCUGAAUGUCAUCACCAUUUUCUACAGCAGCAUGGAAAUCAGAAUUUAGUGGGAAAAAAAAUGCCUUCGAAAUUCUAGGUAAAAAUAAUUUCAAACCCAGGAUUCUGUACUCAACCAGACUCGUUAACUGAACAUGAGAACAGAAUAAAGAGGCUUAGGAUAUUAUAAGAGAAUGUGCUCCACUAAGGCCAAGCAGUAAACAAAAAGAUAAAGCUGCUAGAUCCAGGAACAUGCACGUCGGCACAGGGUUGAGCAAAGAAAAGUCCUGGAUGAGAGCCCUGCAGCUGCCUUAACAGUAACCUGUGAGUGCCAGGGCACAGGUCUGAGGGCCCCAGGACAACUUCCCCAGGCAGAAAAGAGGGCUAAGAUGUGUUGACUACGUGGAAGGUUGUAUGAAAAGGCAUGUUGGAAGGUGUACAAAACCCUAAGCCAUUAUUAACUCCAGGAUAAACAGAAAGUUGUACAACAAAAAAGAAAAAUGUUACAGUUAUCAUUGUUAUAGUAAGAAAAACCUUAAUGUAGAUUUAACGAAGAUUGAGGUUUCAUUGUUUAGGUGUAAGUGAGAUAAAAACCCGAUCUACCAUAAAAGAAAGCUUAAAGAUGAAGUGUAAAAAUAAUGAAUCGAUAGCUUCGAGUGUAUAAGCAAUGUUCAGAAAUGCAGAGGUUAAUUCCGGAAGAAACAGCUAGCAGUAGAAGAAUAGGCAGAAGUAGGAAGGGGGAAAGAGAAUGCUGGUGUUUAUUAUAAAUUUGGAGCAUAAUUUCAAUUUUAAAACUAUUUGCAUGUCGUGGUUUUUUUUUUAAAGUUAGCUGGAUUUCCAGCACUUUGGGAGGCUGAGGUGGAAGUCUUGCUUGAGACCAGGAGUUUGAGGCCAGCCUAGGCAACAUAGCAGGACCCUGUCUCUACCACCAAAAAAAAAAAAAAAAAAAGUUAAUUCAGCUUUUUAAAAACUCAUAAAAAUAAAAUGUUAGGGCACCUGUACUGGAAAGUCUCACCAAUUCAUACAAGUUGUUUGGUUUGUCACCUGAACAGUAUGAUUUUGAAAGAAAUACUGCUCUUUUUUUUUUCAUCUCCACAAAGUAGGUUAUCUAAAGCAAGCAGUUUUGCUAAAAGGAUAAACAAGGGCAUGAAAGAAAGAGGGAAUUGUGGACGUAUACAGCUUGCAAAGGCCUUCCAGUUUUCUGGUCCAAGCCACUCAUUCAUUGCACAGACUGGUAAAUCGAGCACCGGAGAGGCUGUGUUUACCCCAAGAUGGGUGGGUAACAACCAGCACAGCCAGUCUCUGACCAGCUUUCGGACUCUCCAGCCCCUGAGCCCCUCUAGACUACCCUCCAAAGAAUUUUUUCACAGUGGGAAGACUCUUCUAGGGCAGGUGGCCUGGCACUGAGGUCAGGGAGCAGGGAAAGGGAAGACACUGGAAAAUGAGUUCCAGACACACCUAAGCAAAUGAAAGAAGCAUUAGAAAAGGUUACCUUGGCUGGGGCAUGUCUAAAAGACUCAGCCCAUGUUCCUGAUCCUUUUCUGAAGACAUUGAAAACUCUACAGAUCAAAAAGUCUACGGCCCAGCUGGAGAAUUCAAAUAGACAUGGGCACCAACCGCCCCCAGGUACAAGCCCCUCGGUGUAAGGGAAGGAGUCCCUAUUAAGGAGCUCUAACUUUAACAAAAUGACCUGAUUUCCAAACAAAAAGAACUGGACUUACCCAGGUAGCAGAAUUUUGUCCUUCAGAAUCGUUUUAGCACCUUGCAGGGGAGGGCCCCUUUUUUAAAAUGCUAUCUCAUUUGGAACAUCUGGGAAUUCCACUUUGAGAGGUGGCCUUCAGAGCCAACGUAAAAUCCACAAGGAGAAAAUGGGUCUCAUCGCUUUAUGGGCCUCUCCCUCUCUCUGAAGCAACAUUAUGCAAAUGCCUCCUGGCUGCUUCCACAAAGCGAGCCUACCGUCUAAGGACUAAGAUCUGACUCCGCGGAAGGACAGGAAAAACAGAAUAAACUGUACAGUCUGAAUGGGAUUCUAGAGGAGAGUUCCAAAGCGACUGGACCAUGCCAUUAGCACGAGUCUGAGGCUUAGCUUCCCGACGAGGCUGUUGGAAGGGAAAGCACCCAAGUAGAUGAACACACCGGGCCGUGAGUUAAAUGUCGGGUGGAAGCUCAGGCCUUCCAGAAUGGCCCCAGAGCCUUCUGCAGGGACCCCGAGGGAAGCUUUAGGCUGGGCUCCCCGUCCCUGCCUCACUGCCUCCCCCGCACUCUUGCUUCUGAGAUCACUCUCAAGCAAACCACCAGAACCCACGUCCUUGUCACAGCUCUGCUCUGUGAACAGCCCAAAGGAAGGCAGCUUUUCAACCCAGGGGCCGGCCAACUUGCUGUCAAGGGUCAGGAGGUGAAUCUGUUCUGCAUUUCUGGUCACAUUGUCUCUCCUGCAACUCCUCCACUCUACCCUUGUCUCCAAAGCAGCCAUUGACAAUGCACACAUUAAUGGGCGAGGCUGUGUGCCAAUGAAACUUUAUGGACAAGGCCGGGCACGGUGGCUCACACCUGUAAUCCCAGCACUUUGGGAGGCAGAAGUGGGCGCAUAACUUGAGGUCAGGCAUUCAAGACUAGCCUGGCCAACAUGGUGAAACCCCAUCUCUACUAAAAAUACAAAAAUUAGCCGGACAUGGUGGCGUGUGCCUGUAAUCGCAGCUAUUCGGGAGGCUGAGACAGGAGAAUCGGUUGAACGUGGGAGGCGGAGGUUGCAGUGAGCCAAGAUCACACCACUGCACUUCAGCCUGGGUGACAGAGUGAGCCAAGAAAGGAAAGAAAGGAAGAGAAGAAAGAAAGGAAGAGAAGAAAGAAAGGAAGAGAAGAAAGGAAAGAAGGAAGGAGGGAAGGAAGGAAGGAAG
rnacentral:lncRNA from 1 species